rnacentral:rRNA from 1 species
GAAUUGUUCGCAAUGGACGAAAGUCUGACGACGCAACGCCGCGUGGAGGAUGAAGGUCUUCGGAUUGUAAACUCCUGUUGACCGGGAAGAAUUUCUCCGGGGUUCACACCUCCGGAGGGUGACGGUACCGGUUGAGGAAGCCCCGGCUAACUCUGUGCCAGCAGCCGCGGUAAUACAGAGGGGGAGAGCGUUGUUCGGAAUUACUGGGCGUAAAGGGCGCGUAGGCGGCCGACUAAGUCAGACGUGAAAUCCCCAGGCUCAACCUGGGAACUGCGUCUGAUACUGGCUGGCUUGAAUCCGGGAGAGGGAUGUGGAAUUCCAGGUGUAGCGGUGAAAUGCGUAGAUAUCUGGAGGAACACCGGUGGCGAAGGCGGCAUCCUGGACCGGUAUUGACGCUGAGGCGCGAAAGCCAGGGGAGCAAACGGGA